CAAUAGCGUAUAUUAAAGUUGUUGCAGUUAGAACGCUCGUAGUCGGAUUUCGGGGCGGGUCGACCGGUCUGCCGAUGGGUACGCACUGGCCGACGCGUCCUUUUUGCCGGAGACCGUCCCUACUCUUAACUGAGCGGGGUCGGGAGACGGCACUUUUACUUUGAAAAAAUCAGAGUGUUUCAAGCAGGCAGCUCGCUCUUGCAUGGAUUAGCAUGGGAUAAUGAAAUAGGACUUUGGUGCUAUUUUGUUGGUUUCGAGCACCGAAGUAAUGAUGAGAAGGGACAGUCAGGGGCACUCGUAUUCCGCCGAGAGAGGUGAAAUUCUCAGACCAGCGGAAGACGAACCACUGCGAAAGCAUUUGCCAGGGAUGUUUUCACUGA
rnacentral:rRNA from 1 species